UACGAAGGGGGCUAGCGUUGCUCGGAAUCACUGGGCGUAAAGCGCACGUAGGCGGGUUGCUAAGUCAGGGGUGAAAUCCCAAGGCUCAACCUUGGAACUGCCUUUGAUACUGGGGAUCUCGAGUCCGGAAGAGGUGAGUGGAACUGCGAGUGUAGAGGUGAAAUUCGUAGAUAUUCGCAAGAACACCAGUGGCGAAGGCGGCUCACUGGUCCGGUACUGACGCUGAGGUGCGAAAGCGUGGGGAGCAAACGGG
rnacentral:rRNA from 1 species